AUUACUCAUUUUUUGUUUAAUUAACUAUUUGUAUUAGUUGAAUAAAUGUAUACAAAAUAUGUGUACUGCGCAUGCCAUAAGUGUAUAAUCUAUGGCGCAUGCGUCAACUAUAAUGCCUAAGACUUUUUGGCGGGAACGCGAGGAGUGAAGUUGUGUGAUUUGUUUUAUUUUGUCUAUUUAGUGUUUCUUCAGGUUUAAAUGUGUAAUAAUGGUGGUUUAUUAACUGUUUAAUAUCUGUGAAAGUGCACAAAUGUGGGAAAAUGAAACAAAGCUGCUGGACGUAACUUCUCGAGUUCCUCCAAAAAGUCCACUGAAAAAAUCUCAGUAAAUGACCACCAUUUUACUGCGAUUAUAUUUCAUCCCAUAUCAUCUCAUUUCAUUAAAUUUCAUCCCAGUUGAUUAAUGUCUCAAAUUAAUCAUCUUCAUUUCAUUUCACUCCAUAUUAUCAUUUUUCAUAAAAUUAAGAAUAUAAAGUAAAAUAAGAUAUGACUUAAAGGUCUUAGUUACCAGGUCAUAAAAUCUCUUAAAAAAAAAAAUAUAAUGCCUAAACCUUCUACGCGAUUUUAAUCGUGAAAAAAAAACAAUUAUAAAUCCUGAAGGAUCAAUUAAUUGGUAUACAGUUUAAUUAAAAAAAUUAAAAAAUAAAAUAAUGUGCAUUCGCGUAAAGUUAGACCAAAUACAUUUUUUCCAUCCUCCUAUAUACCUAUCGCUAUGAAGGUAUAAAAAAGAUAGGUUAAGAGUUCACAUAUGUAAUAUAAACAAAUAAGUAAAUAUGUUCAUUAUUUAUCUUUCAAGAGAUAAUGUUAUGUAUUGAAAUUGUUGGAAAAUUAUUUCAUGUUUUAGCUGGAAAACGACAUAGAGAAUUAUAUGCAAUACAUGAUAAUGAGCUCCAUCAAAUGAAAUCGAAUGAAACCAAACUGUUUACCAUCCAAAUUCAAUUGUCGGGCAGAUAGAAAACGAAAAUUCACUCAUAGUGAACCUCGGCCUGCAUUUGUGAAACGGCAAAGACUCACUAUUAUCAAGGAAAUUGAAGAGACUACUAAAAAUGAGAUGUGUCGUAUUAUUAUACCUUUGCCAUCUUGUAGUCAGCGUGGUGGACUAAGGCCUAAAAACCCUCUCAAUGAUAGCGAAGGCCAGUGUCCAGCAAGGGGAUAUAUUAUAUGGGCUGAUGAUGAUGACUAGGAAGUUAAAUACUACUACUACUACGACAGUACACAUAUAAUCCUAUAUAUUUACAAACUAUAAGUUUGUUGGAAAUUGCUAACAUUAUUUCAUAUUUCCAGAUGUCCAGCCACUUGAAAAUAGGUGUAGUAAUGACAAAGCUAUCCAAGUAGCUCCAGCACAGGAACACAAAGGCAAGGCAAGUGUGUAUUGCCACAUCACCCCUUAAUAUAUCUGAAGCAAGAAUAAGUAAACAAUCAGAACCAGCAAAAAAAAACUGUUGUUCCUGAGGACAAAUUUGACAGUGAUGAGUCAAAAAGUCAAUGCACCAGCAACAGAAGGAUCAACUGUUGACUAUGAGUUAUCUCUCUAUAUCUCCACUCCAUCAAAGACUUGUGCACUUCAGACUAUAGCUCUCAAGAAGACUGAAAAAGUUGAAAAAAUGAAUGUGUUAACAACUUUAUCUAAAGUGAAAAAUAAACAACGUUUAUAUAUUGGUCUUCCACAAGAAUUAUAUUUCAUAAUAGGCUUGAUUGAGAAACAUACAAAUGUUUCUGAACAAAAUAUUAUAUUAUGUUUGAUGAGAAUAAAAUUAAAUAGAAAAUUCUCUCAAUUGGCUGAUGAUUUCGAUUUAUCUGUAAGUCAAGCAAGCAAUAUAUUUUUCAACAAACUCCCAGAAAUUGCAAAUGUAAUAUCACCCCUUGUUAGACUAUAAAAAAAACAAUACAAUAAAUAUAUAUGCAGGAAGGAUAAUUGAUGUCAACUUGGUGGAAAAUAGAAAGUUUUUAGAUAGUUUGCCACCUACAAAACUCUUUAAUUAAAUAAGUAAUACUUACUUAUAAAUAGGAAUUUUUGUAAGUAUUUUCACUCUUCAUUCAAAAACUACUGAACAAAUUUUAAUAAGACUUCUAUGCUGGUCUUCUAUGGCUAGCAAGUCAUUAUUAUUUUAAUUCUGUUUUCCACAAAUGUGCUAAAUAUGGGCUUAUAUAUAUGAAAAGGAAUAAAUAUUAAUGUUAUGUAACCGUUGUACCUGUAAGUUAAGAAUAAUUUUUAAAUAAAACAUAAUUUAAAUUGAAA